CCAGAAGUUUCCCUGGAGGAUUUAAAGGGGGUGAGGUGGGGAGGGUGUUGUGAGUCAGAGUGAGGGAAGAACAAUCCUUCCCGGGAGGACUCCUAGGGAUGAGGUAGGAGAGGGGGCAGGGAGCAUCUGAGUGAGUCCUCCAGCCUUCCUAGAGCCGCCCAGCAGGCCAGUGGGAGGGUGGGGAAGGCAGCCACCAUUGCUAAUGGGGGGAAGAACUAUUGAUGGCUGAGAGCCCAGGCAAGCCUGGGAAAGGAAAGUGAGCUGACAGGAUGUCACUCUGUGAGCCAGGCUGGAGUGCAGUGGCACGAUCAUAGCUUACUACAGCCCCAAGCCCUGGGUUCAAGCAAACCUCCUGCCUCAGCCUCCCAAAAGGGGAAUCAAUUCUGGACAGGAGGAUACCUCCCUGCCUUUGCCCUCCCUGCCUUCCCCUACAUCCUUCUCUGGAAAGGAGACUGAGGAUGAGAAUGACCUCCCUCCGCAGGACGAGGUAUCAAAUAUUCAGCCCAUGCCAGAGUGAGGAUCUCCUUUUCACCUUCUGUCUAAAUUGUGCCUUGAAUCUGUUUCACGCUCGGUGCGAACUGGGUGAGACUGUUUUUGUAAAACCCAAACCCUGGCAACCCCACAACACCUGACCUCGAGCUGGUUUCCACAGCCUGAAUCCUUCCUCUCUAAUUUGCAAACAACUUUCUUAGUAAAUGAUUACAAAGCAGAAUGCAAUCCCUUCUAUAAGAGAUAUGACUCAGAACAAAUUGUAGGCGCGUUUU